GACGUAGGGCGCGAGCGUUGUCCGGAUUAUUGGGCGUAAAGAGCUCGUAGGUGGUUUGUCGCGUUGUUCGUGAAAACUCACAGCUCAACUGUGGGCGUGCGGGCGAUACGGGCAGACUUGAGUACUGCAGGGGAGACUGGAAUUCCUGGUGUAGCGGUGGAAUGCGCAGAUAUCAGGAGGAACACCGGUGGCGAAGGCGGGUCUCUGGGCAGUAACUGACGCUGAGGAGCGAAAGCGUGGGGAGCGAACAGG
rnacentral:rRNA from 1 species